GAGCGACCAAGUCAGCAAUGACUUUAAACAGAGAUUGAACUGAAGAGUUUGAUCCUGGCUCAGAUUGAACGCUGGCGGCAUGCUUUACACAUGCAAGUCGAACGGUAACAGGGAGCUUGCUCCGCUGACGAGUGGCGAACGGGUGAGUAAUAUAUCGGAACGUACCCAAGAGUGGGGGAUAACGUAGCGAAAGUUACGCUAAUACCGCAUACGAUCUAAGGAUGAAAGCAGGGGACCGCAAGGCCUUGUGCUCCUGGAGCGGCCGAUAUCUGAUUAGCUAGUUGGUAGGGUAAAGGCCUACCAAGGCAUCGAUCAGUAGCUGGUCUGAGAGGACGACCAGCCACACUGGAACUGAGACACGGUCCAGACUCCUACGGGAGGCAGCAGUGGGGAAUUUUGGACAAUGGGCGCAAGCCUGAUCCAGCAAUGCCGCGUGAGUGAAGAAGGCCUUCGGGUUGUAAAGCUCUUUUGUCAGGGAAGAAACGGUUUCGGCUAAUAUCCGGAGCUAAUGACGGUACCUGAAGAAUAAGCACCGGCUAACUACGUGCCAGCAGCCGCGGUAAUACGUAGGGUGCAAGCGUUAAUCGGAAUUACUGGGCGUAAAGCGUGCGCAGGCGGUUUUGUAAGUCUGUCGUGAAAUCCCCGGGCUCAACCUGGGAAUGGCGAUGGAGACUGCAAGGCUAGAAUCUGGCAGAGGGGGGUAGAAUUCCACGUGUAGCAGUGAAAUGCGUAGAGAUGUGGAGGAACACCGAUGGCGAAGGCAGCCCCCUGGGUCAAGAUUGACGCUCAUGCACGAAAGCGUGGGGAGCAAACAGGAUUAGAUACCCUGGUAGUCCACGCCCUAAACGAUGUCUACUAGUUGUCGGGUCUUAAUUGACUUGGUAACGCAGCUAACGCGUGAAGUAGACCGCCUGGGGAGUACGGUCGCAAGAUUAAAACUCAAAGGAAUUGACGGGGACCCGCACAAGCGGUGGAUGAUGUGGAUUAAUUCGAUGCAACGCGAAAAACCUUACCUACCCUUGACAUGGAAGGAAUCC
rnacentral:rRNA from 2 species